rnacentral:rRNA from 1 species
GGAUCCAGACUUUGAUUCUGGCUCAGGAUGAACGCUAGCUACAGGCUUAACACAUGCAAGUCGAGGGGAAACGACAUCGAAAGCUUGCUUUUGAUGGGCGUCGACCGGCGCACGGGUGAGUAACGCGUAUCCAACCUGCCCACCACUUGGGGAUAACCUUGCGAAAGUAAGACUAAUACCCAAUGACGUCUCUAGAAGACAUCUGAAAGAGAUUAAAGAUUUAUCGGUGAUGGAUGGGGAUGCGUCUGAUUAGCUUGUUGGCGGGGUAACGGCCCACCAAGGCAACGAUCAGUAGGGGUUCUGAGAGGAAGGUCCCCCACAUUGGAACUGAGACACGGUCCAAACUCCUACGGGAGGCAGCAGUGAGGAAUAUUGGUCAAUGGACGAGAGUCUGAACCAGCCAAGUAGCGUGCAGGAUGACGGCCCUAUGGGUUGUAAACUGCUUUUAUAAGGGAAUAAAGUGAGUCUCGUGAGACUUUUUGCAUGUACCUUAUGAAUAAGGACCGGCUAAUUCCGUGCCAGCAGCCGCGGUAAUACGGAAGGUCCGGGCGUUAUCCGGAUUUAUUGGGUUUAAAGGGAGCGUAGGCCGGAGAUUAAGCGUGUUGUGAAAUGUAGACGCUCAACGUCUGCACUGCAGCGCGAACUGGUUUCCUUGAGUACGCACAAAGUGGGCGGAAUUCGUGGUGUAGCGGUGAAAUGCUUAGAUAUCACGAAGAACUCCGAUUGCGAAGGCAGCUCACUGGAGCGCAACUGACGCUGAAGCUCGAAAGUGCGGGUAUCGAACAGGAUUAGAUACCCUGGUAGUCCGCACGGUAAACGAUGGAUGCCCGCUGUUGGUCUGAAUAGGUCAGCGGCCAAGCGAAAGCAUUAAGCAUCCCACCUGGGGAGUACGCCGGCAACGGUGCAACUCAAAUGAAUUGACGG